rnacentral:misc_RNA from 1 species
GGGGACAGCAGACGGGCCGAGCGCUAUAAACCGUGUGUGAACGUACCUAUCUUGUAGUGAGAUGAAUGCUGUUUUGGUGGUAGGGCCCUUCUGAAGAGAGGGCACCGCUGCCAGCAGUAUAGUCUCACCACUAUAAAACUCUUUUAUUAUUUUCUAGAUUUUUCAUUGCUGAGUGGCAUAACUAUAAAAAAGUUAAAACUUUCAACAACGGAUCUCUUGGCUCUAGCAUCGAUGAAGAACGCAGCGAAAUGCGAUAAGUAAUGUGAAUUGCAGAAUUCAGUGAAUCAUCGAAUCUUUGAACGCACAUUGCGCCUGGCAGUAUUCUGCCAGGCAUGCCUGUCCGAGCGUCAUUUCACCACUCAAGACUCUUUUGUUCUUGGCGUUGGAGGUCCUGUUCUCCCCUGAACAGGCCGCCGAAAUGUAUCGGCUGUUAUACUUGCCAACUCCCCUGUGUAGUAUAA